GACAGUCUGCAGGCCCCUGCAGUGAGAGCGGUGCAACUGGAAGAGAGCUGGCCGGUUGGGGAGGUGGAGGACGGGGAGAGAAGAGGAAGGAGGCUCCGGGAGCAAGCGAGACAAAAAGGGUCAGGCCUGGGACUUGGGAAAAUCGGAGAGCGGAAAGAAGAAGGAUCGUCUCUUUUUUUGUUCCUUUGAGUUUUAUUUUUCACCUCAUCUACAUCGCCCCCAUUAUUAGAUAUCACCCAUAGACUCGAUGAUGCCGUCCAACACUGUCACCAACACCACUGCAUUGAAAGGCUCAGGCUACACUGAUUCACCUGGAAACAGAAUGGGUGAAAGCACACUACGAGACAUGGACCUGAUGACAGAGGAGAAGUCGGCUAAAGGUAGUGCCUCUUGUAAAGUUGGCAAGCCUGGACGAAAGCGCAAGCAGUUUCCAGU